ACUGCUCAGUAACACGUGGACAACCUACCCUUAGGAGGGGGAUAAUCUCGGGAAACUGAGGAUAAUACCCCAUAGGCGGCAGAUUCUGGAAUGAUUGCUGCUUAAAUGCGCCAACCCAUAUCCCGGUUGGAUUUGCCUAAGGAUGGGUCUGCGGCGGAUUAGGCUGAUGUUAGGGUAACUGCCUAACAUACCUAAAAUCUGUACCGGCUAUGAGAGUAGGAGCCGGGAGAUGGAUACUGAGACAAGGAUCCAGGCUCUACGGAGCGCAGCAGGCGCGGAAACUCUGCAAUGCGCGCAAGCGUGACAGGGGAACACCAAGUGCCUCCCAUAAAGAGGCUUUUGAGGUAUGUAAAAAGUACCUAGAAUAAGGGGUGGGCAAGACUAGUGCCAGCCUCCGCGGUAAAACUAGCAACCCAAGUGGUGGUCGUUUUUAUUUGGCUUAAAGCGUCCGUAGUCGGAUAUGUAAGUUUCCUGUGAAAUCUUAGCGCUUAACGUUAGGGCUUGCAGGGAAUACUGCUUAUCUUGGAGCCGGGAGAGGUUGGGGGUAUUCCUGGGGUAGCGGCGAAAUGCUAUAAUCCUAGGAGGACCACCGACAGCGAAGGCACCCAACUAGAACGGGCUCGACGAUGAGGGACGAGAGCUAGGGGAGCAAACCGGAUUAGAUACCCGGGUAGUCCUAGCCGUAAACGAUGCAGGCUGUGUGUUCCCUGAACCUCGAGUUCAGGGAGUGCUGAAGGGAAACCGUUAAGCCUGCCGCCUGGGGAGUACGGUCGCAAGGCUGAAACUUAAAGGAAUUGGCGGGGGAGCAC
rnacentral:rRNA from 1 species